UACGGAGGGUGCAAGAGUUAUCCGGAGUCACUGGGUUUAAAGGGUGCGUAGGCGGGCAGGUAAGUCAGUGGUGAAAUCUCCGAGCUUAACUCGGAAACUGCCAUUGAUACUAUUUGUCUUGAAUAUUGUGGAGGUAAGCGGAAUAUGUCAUGUAGCGGUGAAAUGCUUAGAUAUGACAUAGAACACCAAUUGCGAAGGCAGCUUACUACACAAUGAUUGACGCUGAGGCACGAAAGCGUGGGGAGCAAACAGG
rnacentral:rRNA from 1 species